rnacentral:misc_RNA from 1 species
AUUUUAAAUUGAGGCUCGAAUUGAAACCAACAAUUUAGUAACUAUCUUUCAAAUUGUUCUGUAACGAUUUGAUUAUGGUUCGAAACCCGUAACCAAUGCUUCUCACCCCUAGUUGAAAAUCUUUAGCAAGUUGAUAAAUAUGAUCUUUCUUCUACUUCCAAGCUCUCUGUACAGGCCACUCGUAGUCGUAGCCAAUCCCAAUCUCUCACACACAACCAGACUUUGUAAAUUAGAAAUUGGUGAACGAAACUUGCCAAUUUUAAGCUUAUAUUUCUCUAUUUCCUUGUAAUUUCUCACGAAAAAGGAGAACGAUGACAUGCUGUGCGGCGUUUGGAAACCGGAUAACAAUAUACAAUCCUCUCCCAGUGAUUAAAUUAUUCAGGAUUAGGAAUAGUAGCAGUGUUAGAUUGAACAAGUAUUAUGGAGGUUAUAGGUUCCCCAGGCAAAUUUUCUGUUCCAACGUUUUCCCACCUCAAAACAACUAUUUGGAGCAGAAGAAACUUGGGGUUCACUAUGACAGUCUCAGAAUCUUGGAAUGGGAUAAGCUCUGCGAUUUGGUCUCCUCCUUCGCCGGCACUUCCUUGGGUCGGGAAGCCUCCAAGGUUACUGUUAUUCUUCAUUUGCUGUUUAAUGAUAUUUUUAUUCAGUAAAAUUUGAUAAUUCUUCGAGAAAUUAAGAAAUUGAUGGGAAAAGCAGGAACCCAUUUUCAUAUUAGCUUUAUUUUGAUGAAUUGGAUGGAUGUCAGCUGCAAUUAUGGUCCUUGAAUAAGAGCUAUAAGGAAAGUUUGAUGCUUUUGCAAGAAACAAAUGCGGCUGUGGAAAUGCACAAGCACGGUGCUUGCCGCUUGGACUUCACUGGCAUCGAUCUUCUUCUGGUUAGUCACUUGAUAUGUUCUCCAUUUGUUUUGCUCUUGAUGCUAUUUCCUCAUAAUUCCCCUUGUCCUCCAAGUGUCUUGUUUUGUUUGUCCUUUUAAAAAGGUGAAAUCAGCUAUUGGACAUGCUUGGAGGGGUUUACCACUUGGUGCAAAUGAAGCAAUGGCUGUUAAAGCUAUGUUAGAGCUUGCUGAUUGUUUGCGGCUUAAUCUUGAAGCUGCAAUCAAGGAAGACGCUGAUUGGUACAAUCGCUUUAUGCCUCUUUCCCAAAUGAUAAUGGAACUGGUUAUAAAUCGAUCAUUAGUUAGGAUGAUACAGCAAGUUAUAGAUGAAGAUGGAUCUGUCAAAGACUCUGCUGUUUGUUCCUUAUUUUUUUCUGAGUUUAUACACACAUUGACAGCUCUAUUGCACACACUUUUCCUUUUUCAAUAUGAUUGCUUUCAAGUUCUACCGUCUUAUUUCAGUUUUGUUUCUUGGCGUAGAGUCCUGCCCUGAGAAGAUCACGUGAUCAAGUACGGAUACUUGAAAAAAAGUUAUAUCAGUUAUUGGACAGCAUAAUUAGGAAGGAUAUGAAAGAAGCAUCAUUUCUGGAAGCAAGUAACGUUGACGGCAGAUGGUGUAUAAAAUCAGGGACUAAUCAGCUGACAAGUUUCAAGGGCCUACUGUUGUCAAGGCACAGGAAGCAUUUUAGAACCACUCUCAGCUGUUCCUUUGAAUGAUGAGUUACAAAGAGCAAGAGCAUCAGUGGCAAAGGCAGAGACAGAUGUGCUUUUGGUGUUGACAGAAAAGAUGCAAAAGGAUCUUGAUGACAUUGAAAAAGUAUUGAACAACGUAAUUCAACUAGAUGUGAUUAAUGCCCGAGCAACUUAUAGUAUUUCAUUUGAAGGUGCAUGCCCUGAUUUAUAUCUGCCGGAAGACAUUGAUGGAUCCUUCUCUGCUGAAUCAUCGGAGAAGAAAGCUUCAAAGGCACCAUACGCCUUUAAGAGAGAGUGGCUAUUGUAUAUACCCAAAGCUUAUCAUCCUUUAUUACUUCAGCAGCAUAGACAAAAUCUGCAGAAGGCGCAGAAGGAUGCCAAAAAUGCUGCUGCUGUUUCUGCAGUGGAACAAGUUCAUCCAGUUCCAAUUGAUCUUUUUAUUGCCCAGAAAACGAGAGUCCUGGUUAUAACCGGUCCUAAUACUGGGGGAAAAACCAUUUGCUUAAAGACUGUUGGAUUGACUGCUAUGAUGGGCAAAUCAGGUCUUUAUGUUUUGUCUUCUGAAUCUGCACAACUUCCUUGGUUUGAUUACAUUUUAGCUGAUAUUGGCGAUGAGCAGUCGUUGUCCCAAUCUUUAUCUACAUUCUCUGGCCAUUUGAAACAAAUAAGUGUCAUUCGGUCUCAGUCAACAAAUCAGUCACUGGUGCUACUGGAUGAAGUAUGUUCCCUUUUUCUUUCUUUUGUUGGUGAUAGUUAUCUCAUUGGAUACUGUAUUACUGGUUAUAUCAGCUUAAAUAACAUAUGAUAAUAUAACUAUGAGGUAAAGAUUUUAAUCCACUAACUCACAAAGAGAGGUAAAGAAUAAUGCAAACAACAUAUGAAUACACGCAUCUUGCAUUUUUUAGGUUGGUGCAGGGACAAAUCCACUUGAAGGAGCUGCACUGGGGAUGUCACUGCUGGAAUCAUUUGCUGAUGGUGGUGCUUUAUUGACAAUAGCUACAACGCAUCAUGGUGAACUUAAAUCCCUGAAAUACAGGCAUGUGGUGAAUAUAGUAAAGAUGCAAUAAUUGUUCUGGGAUUGCCAUGUUUCUCUGUUUAUAUGUCUCAUUCAACAUAGGGUUCAUCCUUUGAUAUGAGAAAUAAAUUUGAUUGCUGGCUUUUUGUUCUGGUUUCACAUUAAAAAUUGCUUCUAUGACAGUAAUGGCACCUUUGAAAAUGCUUGCAUGGAGUUUGAUGAAGUGAAUCUAAAGCCAACUUACAGGAUUCUUUGGGGAAUACCAGGUCGUUCAAAUGCCAUCAACAU